rnacentral:rRNA from 1 species
CUAUGGUUUAUUGGAUCGUACCCGUUAAAUGGAUAACUGUAAUAACUCUAGAGCUAAUACAUGCCUCGAUGCCCUGACUCUGCCUGCUCUGCUGGUAGGUAGGGGAUGGGUGCACUUAUUAGAUCAGAAGCCAACCAACGGUGCGUGUGCGGCUGCRAAGUCGUGACGCGCGUUGUAGCACUUCUGGUGACUCUGGAUAAUUGUUACAGAUCGCAGUCGACCUUGGGUCGGCGACGGGUCCUUCAAAUGUCUGCCCUAUCAACUUUCGAUGGUAGGUGACCUGCCUACCAUGGUGAUAACGGGUAACGGGGAAUCAGGGUUCGAUUCCGGAGAGGGAGCCUGAGAAACGGCUACCACUUCCAAGGGAGGCAGCAGGCGCGCAAAUUACCCACUCCCAGUACGGGGAGGUGGUGACGAAAAAUACCGAUGCGGGACUCCUUAAAGAGGCUCCGUAAUCGGAAUGAGUGGACUCUAAAUCCUUUCACGAGGAUCCAUUGGAGGGCAAGUCUGGUGCCAGCAGCCGCGGUAACUCCAGCUCCAAUAGCGUAUAUUAAAGUUGCUGCAGUUAAAAAGCUCGUAGUUGGAUCUCGGUAGCACUGUUGCCCGUCGGUAUUUGAGCGGCUGGUGUGUGGCUUGCGUCACGAUGCCUCGGUGGCUGUGGGUUCGCGGAUGGGUCGGGGGGUUGGUGGCUUGCUAGGUCGCCUGCCCGAGUGUUUGCUCGCUUGCUCGCUCGCUAGCUCAUCGAAUCGGUUGCCCGUAUGCUUGCUCGCAUUCUGGCUGGCCGGCUGGGUGGCUGGUUGAGUGUAUAAGCGGGUGGUUGGGUGGUGCGUGAGUGGCUCGCCUUCUCGCCGGUACACCCGCCUCAGCCCUGGGGUUGCGUCGUCGCGGCCAUUGAUUAGCGCUGUCGUGUCGAGCCGGCAAGGCGGUGGUGUCACCUUUGAGCCAUGUCUGUGGUGUAACAACUGCAGGUGUGGGCGGGUGUCGGGCAGCACUCCGCACACGUUGUGGAGUGGAGUCUGUCGACUCGUCUGCAUGCCUUUGGAUGCCCUUCAAAAGGUGUCCGUGGGCGGAUGGCACGUUUACUUUGAACAAAUUUGAGUGCUCAAAUCAGGCCGAUGUUGCCUGAAWAGUUUUGCAUGGAAUAAUGGAAUAGGACUUCGGUUCUAUUUCGUUGGUUUUCGGAUCCGAAGUAAUGAUCAAAAGAGACAGGCGGGGACGUUUGUAUGGCUGCGCUAGAGGUGAAAUUCGUGGACCGUAGCCAGACAAACUAAAGCGAAAGCAUUYGUCAAGCAUGUUUUCAUUGGCCAUGAGCGAAAGUCAGAGGCUCGAAGACGAUCAGAUACCGUCCUAGUUCUGACCAUAAACGAUGCCAACUGACGAUCCGUGGUGGUAGUGACAACCUUCCCCACGGGCAGUCCCCGGGAAACCUUUAAGUCUUUGGGUUCCGGGGGAAGUAUGGUUGCAAAGCUGAAACUUAAAGGAAUUGACGGAAGGGCACCACCAGGAGUGGAGCCUGCGGCUUAAUUUGACUCAACACGGGAAAACUCACCCGGGCCGGACACUAUGAGGAUUGACAGAUUGAUAGCUCUUUCUUGAUUUGGUGGUUGGUGGUGCAUGGCCGUUCUUAGUUGGUGGAGCGAUUUGUCUGGUUAAUUCCGAUAACGAACGAGACUCCAGCCUGCUAAUUAGUGCGUUCGUCCACUGCCCUUGUUGGGCGGCGUUGAAUGCGGCUGCUGGUGGAUUUCGGUCUGCUCAGUGGCUAGUCUGACAGCGUUAGUCCUCGGGGGGCGGCGCGAAUGCUCACUUCUUAGAGGGACAAGCGGGAGAAGCCGCACGAAAUAGAGCAAUAACAGGUCUGUGAUGCCCUUAGAUGUCCGGGGCCGCACGCGCGCUACAAUGGCGGUGUCAACGAGUAANACCUUCUGGCCCGAAAGGGUUGGAUAAACUGGUCAAUCACCGUCAUGACAGGGAUCGGGGCUUGGAAUUGUUCCCCGUGAACRAGGAAUUCCUAGUAAGUGCAAGUCAUAAGCUUGCGCUGAUUACGUCCCUGCCCUUUGUACACACCGCCCGUCGCUACUACCGAUUGAAUGGUUUAGUAAGGUCCUUGGAUCGACGCCUUUGUGGCUGCCGCCGAGAGGCGUGUGGCUCGUGUGGCGUUGAGAAGACAACCAAACUUGAUCAUUUAGA